AAAGGAAUUGACGGGGGCCCGCACAAGCGGUGGAGCAUGUGGUUUAAUUCGAAGCGACGCGAAGAACCUUACCAAGGCUUGACAUGGAGAUGAAAGGCGCAGAGAUGCGUCCCCCUUCGGGCAUCUCACACAGGUGGUGCAUGGUUGUCGUCAGCUCGUGUCGUGAGAUGUUGGGUUAAGUCCCGCAACGAGCGCAACCCUUAUCUUUAGUAGCCAGCGCGAAAGGCGGGCACACUAGAGAGACUGCCGUGGAUAACACGGAGGAAGGUGGGGAUGACGUCAAAUCAUCAUGCCCCUUAUGUCUUGGGCGACACACGUGCUACAAUGGCUCAUACAAAGUGAUGCAAGGCAGUGAUGCGGAGCAAAACACAAAAAUGAGUCCCAGUUCGGAUUGUAGUCUGCAACCCGACUACAUGAAGUUGGAAUCGCUAGUAAUCGCAAAUCAGCAUGUUGCGGUGAAUACGUUCCCGGGCCUUGUACACACCGCCCGU
rnacentral:rRNA from 1 species